ACAUAAAAACAUCGUAAUCAAUGAGCUUAAAUUUUUAAAUAAUAACGAUUGUUUAAAUUGAUUUAAUAUGAUACCAGAUCAAAAAAUCUUAAAUUCGAGUCAUGUCAGAUCCAAGAGAUAAAUAUGAUUAAAAAGUGACUUAUGAAUAGUUUUAAGAUUGAAUAGUCAGUAAAAAGUGGCUGAAUUCUGAUCGGUCUCGACAAUGUCAAUUGAAUAGUCAGUAAAAAUUGAGGACUAAAUAAGAUUGGUCCUCAACUUUUUGAGGAUACAUUUGGAGCCACAGGAAACCUGCAUCUUAUGCAGAAUCCCACUGCUUUCAAGGUUAGAAGUUGAACUUCUGUUUCACCUGGUGCAGUAGACCAGCUUUUUCUUGCUGGCCAAGAGGAUCUUCAAAUUUUGGUUUGUUGAUCAUCUAGGACCCACCACGUUUUGCUUCGGAAACUACGAGCCUACGACUUUUUUUUUAAGGAUUAAUUUCAUACAGAUCCCUAUAAAUAUAGUGAAUUAUAAAUAUAUCCUUAUAAAGUUCAACUUUCAUAUAUUAUUUCCGUAAAAAUUCUAAUAUUUUCAAAUAUAUUCAUGCCGUUAGAAUCCGUUAGAAAAUUUUAAUUAACCAUAAGUUGAAUAUUUAACCCUGGAUAGUCUAUGAGACAACUUGAUAUUUUUGUUCCUCUUAUAUUAUACUAUUAUGGUUUUUGAAGGGAUAUAUUAGUGAUGGCAAAAUUGAUAUUUCACUUAAAAUAUAAACAGUUCUAUACCGGUAACAAAUCAGAAAAAUAUAUUUAAAAAUAUUAAAAUUUUUGUAAAAAUAACAUAUGAAAGGUCAAACAUUAUAGAAAUUUAUUUAUAAUUUACUAUAUUUGCAGAGAUUUAUAUGUAUUAAACCCUUUCUUUAAAUAUCAAUAUCAUACUACAGAAUCUCUCUCUCUCUCUCUCUCUCUCAUUGAUUUCGAUAGUAACAUGGACGUAAUGGUUGAGGAUGAAUAUUACAAUAGAAAAAUAGUGCACUAAAAAGAACAAAAAUUCAUUUUUGGCCUUGUAGCAGCUAUAGAUGGACAAUCUUUGGAUCAAAGAAUCUUUAAUACAUUGAUUCUUUUAGGUAUCGUUUGGUUCGAGAAUAAACAAAAAAUGGAUAUUCCGGGGAUAGGUAUAAAUUGAGAUAUAAGCAGGGAUUAGAUCAACUUUGUGUUUGGAUGAAAAUUGGGUUAUUACUGUAAAUAAGAAAAAUAACGUUUGGUUAGAUAAAAUGGAAUAAGAAUUAAAGUGGGUAGUUAUAAAUAAAAAAUAAUAAUAUUAUUCUUUUCUUUAUAUUAGAAUUAGAAUUUUUAUAUUUUAUAUUUUUAUUUUAAAAUUUAUGCCGUGUA
rnacentral:lncRNA from 1 species